GAUGAACGCUGGCGGCGUGCCUAAUACAUGCAAGUCGAGCGAACAGACGAGGAGCUUGCUCCUCUGACGUUAGCGGCGGACGGGUGAGUAACACGUGGAUAACCUACCUAUAAGACUGGGAUAACUUCGGGAAACCGGAGCUAAUACCGGAUAAUAUAUUGAACCGCAUGGUUCAAUAGUGAAAGACGGUUUUGCUGUCACUUAUAGAUGGAUCCGCGCCGCAUUAGCUAGUUGGUAAGGUAACGGCUUACCAAGGCAACGAUGCGUAGCCGACCUGAGAGGGUGGUGGCCCCCCCGGGCACUGGGCCCCGCUCCGGCCUCCUACGGGGGCCACCAGAGGGGAUUCUUCCGCAGGGGGGGAAGGCGUGACGAAGCAGCGCGGCGUGAGUGAGAAGGGUCUCGGGAUCGAAAAACUGUGUUAUUGGGGAAAAAAAAAUUUGAAAGAAAUUGUGCCCGUCGUGACGGUCCCUAACAAAAAGCCCCCGCCAAACUCCGUC
rnacentral:rRNA from 1 species